rnacentral:lncRNA from 1 species
AUGAGGCUGAGUAUGUCUGCCUCCCCAGACUGUCCGUCCUUCCAGGACAGGGCUCUGCACCUCCCUCUCUUCACACCAAACCCCCUCCCCACCACACACACACCCCCACCACACACACCCACACCCACACCCACACCCCACCACACAUACACACACACCCCACCACACACACGCACACCCACACACACCACCACACCCCCCCCCAACCAUACCCCCCCAAACACAUACACACACCGCACCACACACACACCCCCCACCACACACACACCCCACCCCCCCACACACACCCCCACCACACACAAACACACACACACGGCACCAUACACACACCCCACCACACACACACACACCCCACCCACCACACACACAUCCCAUCACACACACCCCACCACACCCCCACACACACACACAGCCCCCACCACACACACACAUCCCACCACACACACCCCACCACACACACACACCCACACACACCCCACCACACACACACACACACACACCCCACCACACACACACACCCUACCACACACACACACACCAUACCCCCACCACACACACACACACACACACACCCCACCACACAUACACACACCCACCACACACACACACCCCACCACAUACACACCACCACACACAUACCCCACCACACACACACACCCCACCACACACACACACCCCACCACACACACACACCCCACCACACACACACCUCCGUACACACACACACCUCUGUACACACACACACCACCACACACACACACUCCACCACAUACACACACACACCCCCCACAACUCACACACACCCCACCACACACAUACACAUCCCACCACACCCCCCAUACACACCCCACCACACCCCCACACACACACCCCACUAUACCCCACACACACACAGCCCCCACCACACACACACACCCCCCACCACAUACACACCACUGUACACACACACCCCACCACACACACACACACACCCCAACACACACACACACCCCAACACACACACACCCCACAACACACACACACCCCACCACACACACACACACCAUCACACACACACACACCCCACCAUCACAUACACCUCCACCCAUCUCACACAGACACACACACACCCCACCAUACACGCACAAAGACACACCCCACCACACACACCGUACCCACACACACAUCGCACCACACACACACACCACACAUACACCCCCACCACACACACACACACACCAUCACACACACAUACACAUCCCACUAAACACACACCCCACUAAAAAUACACAUACACCCCACCACAUAUACACAACCCAUCACACACACACAUCCCCACCACACACACACAGGCACUCAGGGCCUAUUUGCUGA